rfam:Catopsilia pomona nucleopolyhedrovirus isolate 416, complete genome.
CAUUUUGUGGCGCGUAUAUUGACAAAUAUACUACAGUCGGACGUUUGUGCCGACCUAUACACUACAUUGUACCAAAAAUAUACUACACCUGCGCCAAAAUAUACUACACCUGCGCUUCAAUAUAACUACACUCUCGUAAAACGGCUUAAAAAUAUCGAAAGAUAUGGGACAAAUACACGUUUUGAAAACGCUACGAUUUC